UCCCUGCCUACCUGGAGUCUUCUAAAGGAUUCACUGCUCUCCAGGGAACUGUUGAAGUAUGCAUCAUUGUUUCAAUGAAGUAUCUUCAUUAUAAAACAUAGGGACUAUAAAAGUGAAUCUCUUACAACAGAAAAGUUCUUGGGUUGCUUACAGCACUCUAGAUAAUGUAUAAAUGAGGAGAUAUGCAUGAUCUUUGUUAGCAGACAGCAGACCUUGUGAUCUGAACAGGAUAUAGACAGCUCUGUUUAGAUAGAUAUAAUAUACUAUGUAGCCUAAAGGUCCAAUGUUAAAAGUAUUAAAAUAAUAUUGGGCUGUUUUAUUGUUUUGUUUUGCAUUCUGGAAAAAAUAACAUGGUAUUCAAGGUAAUAUACUGGCAAAGAUAUCUAGCCCUGGAUGUCCUUGUAACUACACAUAGCUCUGCAUUACAUUAGAAAAAUGCUUUAUAUUUCAGUUUGUUUUUACAGCGUAAAAUUCAUGCUUGUGUAUAGGAACCAAACAUGGCCUAUGGCCCACUUAAAUUCCACUCAAGCUGUAUUUGGAAAGCUUAAGUGGGGCUUAUAUAGUGAAUAGGACUUUUCCUGGCACUUCGAUCCGUGAUGGAUUUCUCUUGUUGUAGCAGUGGUGACACAAUUCAUGUGUUUUAUAAUGACACCAGAUUUAUGAAAACCUGUCAUGGUCAAGAGCACUCACGUGCACCAAGAAAAAAAAACCCAAAAACUUGGUGCUACAUCAGUAGCAAUGUUAGAAGAAUUAUACAUAUUUCACCGUUUGGUUCAACGUCACUAGAUCUCUAACAGCUAACUGCCAUUCAUGUUAUUACUGGGAGUUUCCAGCCAUCCCCCUCCUCCUCCUUCACCAAGUUCUGUUUAAUUGCAUACAUUGGCAACUAGACCUUGAAAUAUGCUUUGCAGUCAACUACUUCCUCUUAUAAGGUAAAAAAAAAUCAAUGAGUUUCUAUACCAUUUUGUUCCUGUAUUAGUAGCUUUGAUGGCUAACUGGUGCCUACAGCACGUACUCGUGCUAACAAGGUAUAUCUCCACAGCAGAACUUCUGUAACGUUACUAUAAUGAAUAAUUUGUGAGGAACUGCAAUGAGGAAGAAUGUACUAUAUUUCUAUACAUUGGUAUACGUAACCAUCUAUAUACUGUGUAUGAUUUAAUAUAUAAAAUAUUUUAUAUUUAUUUGUAGAUAUUAUUUAUAAUACACAGCAUAUAAAAUGCUUAGAAAUUGAUUCAUAGAUGUUUUCUAUAUAUGGUAUAAUGUAUAUAAUUAAAAUGUAUGGUAAUAAGUUAUAUUCAUUUUAUAUCUGGUUAUAAUAUACAAAUUACAGUAUUUGACUCUAUUGUUUCUAAGACCAAUUAUAAGUUUAUCAAAAGUAUUUCAACUUGGCCAUUUAAAAUUGGAGCUGUCCUGUUUCUACUAGCAGAAGAGGUCAUACUGUCUUUCUGUUUCUGUCUGAAUAAUAAUAAGACAAAUGUGAAGAAACCUCUGCAGUUUUGAAUAUCACAAAAAAGGAGAUUGUUCUAGAUAAUGCAUCAUGGCUGAGAAUAUACCAACUUAUGCCAUACUUGGAGCAUCAUGUCAGUAUAAAAACCAAAGACUGUUUUUUUCCAAAAGCCACUGCUUUUGGAAAGGUGUGCUAAGAACUUUGUCUUUAAUAUUCUAUACAAUUAAAAUUAUUUAAGUCCUU
ensembl:lncRNA